UGGGGAAUAUUGCACAAUGGGGGAAACCCUGAUGCAGCCAUGCCGCGUGUGUGAAGAAGGCCUUCGGGUUGUAAAGCACUUUCAGUGGGGAGGAAGGGGUGAUGCCUAAUACGCAUCAUCAUUGACGUUACCCACAGAAGAAGCACCGGCUAACUCCGUGCCAGCAGCCGCGGUAAUACGGAGGGUGCAAGCGUUAAUCGGAAUAACUGGGCGUAAAGCGCACGCAGGCGGUUAGAUAAGUCAGAUGUGAAAUCCCCGGGCUCAACCUGGGAACUGCAUUUGAAACUGUCUGACUAGAGUCUUGUAGAGGGGGGUAGAAUUCCAGGUGUAGCGGUGAAAUGCGUAGAGAUCUGGAGGAAUACCGGUGGCGAAGGCGGCCCCCUGGACAAAGACUGACGCUCAGGUGCGAAAGCGUGGGGAGCAAACA
rnacentral:rRNA from 1 species